UACGUAGGGUGCAAGCGUUGUCCGGAAUUAUUGGGCGUAAAGAGCUCGUAGGCGGUCUGUCGCGUCGGCUGUGAAAACCCGGGGCUCAACCCCGGGCCUGCAGUCGAUACGGGCAGACUAGAGUGCGGUAGGGGAGACUGGAAUUCCUGGUGUAGCGGUGGAAUGCGCAGAUAUCAGGAGGAACACCGAUGGCGAAGGCAGGUCUCUGGGCCGCAACUGACGCUGAGGAGCGAAAGCAUGGGGAGCGAACAGG
rnacentral:rRNA from 1 species